UACGUAGGGACCAAGCGUUGUCCGGAAUCAUUGGGCGUAAAGAGCUCGUAGGCGGUUUGGUAAGUCGGGUGUGAAAUCUCCACGCUCAACGUGGAGGGGCCACUCGAUACUGCCAUGACUCGAGUCCGGUAGGGGAGUGUGGAAUUCCCGGUGUAGCGGUGAAAUGCGCAGAGAUCGGGAGGAACACCCGUAGCGAAGGCGGCACUCUGGGCCGGUACUGACGCUGAGGAGCGAAAGCGUGGGGAGCGAACAGG
rnacentral:rRNA from 1 species